rnacentral:rRNA from 1 species
GACGAACGCUGGCGGCGUGCCUAACACAUGCAAGUCGAACGGAAAGGCCCUGCUUUUGUGCGGUGCUCGAGUGGCGAACGGGUGAGUAACACGUGUGUAACCUGCCCUUGACUUUGGGAUAACUUCAGGAAACUGGGGCUAAUACCGGAUAGGAGCUCCUGCUGCAUGGUGGGGGUUGGAAAGUUUCGGUGGUUGGGGAUGGACUCGCGGCUUAUCAGCUUGUUGGUGGGGUAGUGGCUUACCAAGGCUUUGACGGGUAGCCGGCCUGGGAGGGUGACCGGCCACAUUGGGCCUGAGAUACGGCCCAGACUCCUACGGGAGGCAGCGGUGGGGAAUAUUACACAAUGGGCGGGAGCCUGAUGCAGCAACGCCGCGUGCGGGAUGACGGCCUGCGGGUAGUAAACCGCUGUCGCCUGUGACGAAGCGUUAGUGACGGUAAUGGGUGAAGAAGCACCGGCUAACUACGUG